rnacentral:rRNA from 1 species
AGUCUGGUGCCAGCAGCCCCGGUAAUUCCAGCUCCAAUAGCGUAUAUUUAAGUUGUUGCAGUUAAAAAGCUCGUAGUUGGAUCUUGGGUCGUAAAGGUCGGUCCGCCUACUCGGUGUGCACCUGCCCUUCCGUCCCUUUUGUCGGCGGCGUGCUCCUAGCCUUAAUUGGCUGGGUCGCGGCUCCGGCGUUGUUACUUUGAAAAAAUUAGAGUGCUCAAAGCAAGCUUAUGCUCUGAAUACAUUAGCAUGGAAUAACGUGAUAGGAGUCUGGUCCUAUUGUGUUGGCCUUCGGGACCGGAGUAAUGAUUAAUAGGGACUGUCGGGGGCAUUCGUAUUUCAUUUUCAGAGGUGAAAUUCUUGGAUUUAUGAAAGACGGACCACUGCGAAAGCAUUUGCCAAGGAUGUUUUCAUUAAUCAAGAACGAAAGUUGGGGGCUCGAAGACGAUCAGAUACCGUCCUAGUCUCAACCAUAAACGAUGCCGACCAGGGAUCGGCGGAUGUUGCUCUAAGGACUCCGCCAGCACCUUUUGAGAAAUCAGAGUGUUUGGGUUCCGGGGGGAGUAUGGUCGCAAGGAUGAAACUUAAAGGAAUUGACGGAAGGGCACCACCAGGAGUGGAGCCUGCGGCUUAAUUUGACUCAACACGGGGAAACUUACCAGGUCCAGACAUAGUAAGGAUUGACAGAUUGAGAGCUCUUUCUUGAUUCUAUGGGUGGUGGGGCAUGGCCGUUCUUAGUUGGUGGAGCGAUUUGUCUGGUUAAUUCCGAUAACGAACGAGACCUCAGCCUGCUAACUAGCUACGCGGAGGUUCCCCUUCGCGGCCAACUUCUUAGAGGGACUAUGGCCGUUUAGGCCAUGGAAGUUUGAGGCAAUAACAGGUCUGUGAUGCCCUUAGAUGUUCUAGGCCGCAUGCGCGCUACACUGAUGCAGCCAACGAGCUUUUCUUCCUGGUUCGAGAGGAUCGGGAAAUCUUUUCAAAUUGCAUCGUGAUGGGGAUAGACCAUUGCAAUUAUUGGUCUUCAAAGAGGAAUUCCUAGUAAGCGCGUGUCAUCAACUCGUGUUGACUACGUCCCUGCCCUUUGUACACACCGCCCGUCGCUCCUACCGAUUGAAUGAUCCGGUGAAGUGUUCGGAUUGUGUCGACGAUGGUGGUUCGCCGCCGUCGACGUCGUGAGAAGUUCAUUGAACCUUAUCAUUUAGAGGAAGGAGAAGUCGUAACAAGGUUACCGUAGGUGAACCUGCAGUAG